rnacentral:rRNA from 1 species
UAGGGAAUAUUGGACAAUGGGCGCAAGCCUGAUCCAGCCAUGCCGCGUGAGUGAAGAAGGCCCUCGGGUUGUAAAGCUCUUUUGUUGGGGAAGAAAAGCAGCCGGUUAAUACCCGGUUGUCCUGACGGUACCCAAAGAAUAAGCACCGGCUAACUUCGUGCCAGCAGCCGCGGUAAUACGAAGGGUGCAAGCGUUACUCGGAAUUACUGGGCGUAAAGCGUGCGUAGGUGGUUUGUUAAGUCUGAUGUGAAAGCCCUGGGCUCAACCUGGGAAUGGCACUGGAUACUGGCAAGCUAGAGUGUGGCAGAGGGUAGUGGAAUUCCUGGUGUAGCAGUGAAAUGCGUAGAGAUCAGGAGGAACAUCCGUGGCGAAGGCGACUGCCUGGGCCAACACUGACACUGAGGCACGAAAGCGUGGGGAGCAAACAGG